AAUCUUUAAAAAAAAAAAAAAAGAAAUAUAGUGUAUGUUUAAAGGUGACAAGUGCUAUAGGAAAAAAUAGAGCAAGGUAACAGACUUUGGAAAUAGCAGAGGAGGAAGUAGAGGAGGGUGGAGCUAGAGAGGGUUGACUGUACAUUAAGUAAGACGCCAGAGAAGGCCUUCUGGAGGAGAUUAAAUUUAAGCAAUGCCUAAAGGAGGUGAGGCCAAGCUAUACAGUUGGAGAAAAUGCUUUCCAGACAGAGAGACUAGCCAGCACAAACUCUAUAAGUCAGAAGUGUGCCUGGAGUUUUUGAGGAAAAGUUGAGGCCAGUGCAACUGGAACAAAGUGAGUGAAGGGGAGAGUAGUAAGAAAUGAAGUCCAGAAGGUUAGGGAGCAGGAGCAGAUCAAGUCAUGAAGAGCCUUCUGGGCCAUUGUAAGGACUUUGGCUUUUACUUUGAAUGAAAUGGGGAGUCACUGCAGGGUUUUGAGCAGAGAAGUAACAUGAAGUCACUUCUAUUUUAAAAGGAUCACUCUGGUUGCUGUGUUAAGAAUAGACUGUAGGGGAACAAGGAUAAAAGCAGCAUGACCUGUUAGGAGGCCAUUGCAGUAAUCCAAGCUGGAGAUGGUGGUGGCGGCUUGUACCACGGGGUAGCAGAGGUGACAGAAAGACAGAGUUCUGGAUCUAUUGAGGACAAGAUUUCCUGAUGGACUGAAUGUGAUAUAUGCCUCCAGAGCCUUUCAUCCUCCUGCUCCAGUCUGAAAUGGUUGCUCUCUAAGCCUGCUGCAAAGCUGACUCCCUGGGAUUGCCCUUCACUAGCAGCCUGGAGCGAUCUCUUCAAAAUUUAUAUCCUGCCGAUGAAGAGCACAGGCCGGGUUAGACUCUCAGCUCCACCCUUUAUUAUCUGAGUUUCCUUGAGAAAGUUACUUAACCUGCCUGCACCAAGGUUUCUAAAUCGGUAGAAAGACGAUGAUGACAUCUCAAAAGGUCAUUGUGAGACUCGAAGAAGAAAAGUACACUUAGUGUACUUAAUAAGCACUCAUUUGAUGUUAGCUAGUAGUGGUAUCAGCAGUGGUAACUCAGAUCAUGUCACUGCCCUACCUACCUCACUGACCUAGUUUCACACCACCCUGCUCACUAGGCAUUAGUGACUUGCCUAUUACCUAUCCACUAACUUUGUGGCUCCUGAUGGGAUGGCCUGAGGGAGGAGGGCCUUAGGGCCUUCAUACAGGCAAUUCCCUCUCUUGAAAUGUUCUCCCUGACCCUCCUUACUUGGCCUUGCUAACUCUUCAUCCUUUUGCUUCAGCUCAAAUGUCACUUGCUUCACUUCACUAAUCAGUUAGGAUCUAUGAGAUCCACAGGUAUACUCCCUUCAUAGAACCAGCAGUACUAUGAUUUCGUACCAAGAUGGGUAGAAGAAUCGUUCACAGAUAGUCUUCACGCAGAUUACACUGACAUCUGUUUUGAUGGGUAGGCGCUUAUGCUGUGCACCCUGUUAAAUAUUUUGAAUAUCAUCCUUGUGUAGAAUCUGUUAUUUCCUUCAAAGCAAUUAUCACAAUCAAUUUGCAUAUACUAUAUAUAGUAUAUACACAGAAAUACAUAUAUAUGUACUAUAUAUAUAUUAGAGAGAGCUGUUUCUUCUCUACACUAUGCUCCAUGCAUGUAGAGAUAUAUAUGUUUUGUUCAUCCUGUAUAUCUAAUGCCUAAUAAAACAGUUGGCACAUAAUUGGUGUACAAUGUAAUGAAUAUUUGUUGAAAGAAUGAAUUUUUUUGGCAACUCCUGGAAAAAUUAAACUGGGGAUGUGGCAACUAGUCUAGGUCCUGAUAGAACUGGAAACAGACUCUUGGGCAUGGGGGUAGGCUAGGUAAGUUGCUAAGAAAAGACUGGUUACAGGGUUGUUCCAAUCUCUCACCCACCUGAGCUGCUUGAGUUGAUAAGGAGGUAGCAGGUGCCAAAGAAAACUUGCUUCCUCAUCCUACACUAUUUCACUCAUCUCUGGCUGGUUUGGCUUUCCCUAUGGGAUCAGUUCUGUGGUCUCUCUACAUGCAAGGGGACCCACGUGGCUUGGCUCCACUGGGAACCCAGGGCUGGGAAGCCAAAUAGCCCAAAUUCUUCUCACGAAUUGUGGUCAGACUGUUGCUGUCGGUCUGCAGGUGAUGUCCCCAUCCUUCAAGUCCAGUUUCCUCAUCUUUCUCACUUUAUAUCUAGGGUCCCUAAACCCUGCCUCAUGGCCUUCUCUGUUUCAGAUCCCUGGGUUCUCAUUCUCUCUAAUUUGUUCCCUAACUCUCAACUCUGUGCUGUGUUUAAAUGGAAGUAUUUUCUUUCCCCCCUGGCUUUUGGCCAGCAGCUUCAGUUCUUCACCAUGUAGGCCUCUCCUCAUGACAUGGCAGCUGGCUCCUCCCGACAUGGCAGCUGGCUCCUCCCAGAGUCAGUGAUCCAAGAGAGAGAGGAAAGCAGAAGCCACAAUGUCUUUUAUGAUUUAGCAUCAGAAGUGACAUACCAUCACUUCUGCCAUAUUCUUUUUUUUUUGGGGGGGGAGGAGGAUUAGC